rnacentral:antisense_RNA from 1 species
GCUCAGUCACCUUUCCCGGUUGCCUUGAUCCAAGGCCCGAUACGGGAUAUCCAGGAAGAGUCGACGGUCACAGAGAAGGCCGUGCCAAUGGGCAGAGGUCUGGGAGGUCUCAUUCUGUGCCUGCGAACAUGGCGGCGCCCGUUGUCACGGCCCCAGGCAGAGCUCUGCUGCGGGCGGGCGCUGGGCGGCUGCUGCGGGGAGGCGUCCAGGAGCUACUGCGGCCG